rnacentral:rRNA from 1 species
AUUGAACGCUAGCGGGAUGCUUUACACAUGCAAGUCGAACGGCAGCGCGGACUUCGGUCUGGCGGCGAGUGGCGAACGGGUGAGUAAUGUAUCGGAACGUGCCCAGUAGCGGGGGAUAACUACGCGAAAGCGUGGCUAAUACCGCAUACGCCCUACGGGGGAAAGGGGGGGAUCGCAAGACCUCUCACUAUUGGAGCGGCCGAUAUCGGAUUAGCUAGUUGGUGGGGUAAAGGCCUACCAAGGCAGUGAUCCGUAGCUGGUUUGAGAGGACGACCAGCCACACUGGGACUGAGACGCGGCCCAGACUCCUACGGGAGGCAGCAGUGGGGAAUUUUGGACAAUGGGGGCAACCCUGAUCCAGCCAUCCCGCGUGUGCGAUGAAGGCCUUCGGGUUGUAAAGCACUUUUGGCAGGGAAGAAACGCUUCCCCCUAAUACGGGGAGGAACUGACGGUACCUGCAGAAUAAGCACCGGCUAACUACGUGCCAGCAGCCGCGGUAAUACGUAGGGUGCAAGCGUUAAUCGGAAUUACUGGGCGUAAAGCGUGCGCAGGCGGUUCGGAAAGAAAGGUGUGAAAUCCCAGGGCUUAACCUUGGAACUGCACUUUUAACUGCCGAGCUAGAGUAUGUCAGAGGGGGGUAGAAUUCCACGUGUAGCAGUGAAAUGCGUAGAGAUGUGGAGGAAUACCGAUGGCGAAGGCAGCCCCCUGGGAUGAUACUGACGCUCAUGCACGAAAGCGUGGGGAGCAAACAGGAUUAGAUACCCUGGUAGUCCACGCCCUAAACGAUGUCAACUAGCUGUUGGGGCCUUCGGGCCUUAGUAGCGCAGCUAACGCGUGAAGUUGACCGCCUGGGGAGUACGGUCGCAAGAUUAAAACUCAAAGGAAUUGACGGGGACCCGCACAAGCGGUGGAUGAUGUGGAUUAAUUCGAUGCAACGCGAAAAACCUUACCUACCCUUGACAUGUCUGGAAUCCCGAAGAGAUUUGGGAGUGCUCGCAAGAGAACCGGAACACAGGUGCUGCAUGGCUGUCGUCAGCUCGUGUCGUGAGAUGUUGGGUUAAGUCCCGCAACGAGCGCAACCCUUGUCAUUAGUUGCUACGAAAGGGCACUCUAAUGAGACUGCCGGUGACAAACCGGAGGAAGGUGGGGAUGACGUCAAGUCCUCAUGGCCCUUAUGGGUAGGGCUUCACACGUCAUACAAUGGUCGGGACAGAGGGUUGCCAACCCGCGAGGGGGAGCCAAUCUCAGAAACCCGAUCGUAGUCCGGAUUGCAGACUGCAACUCGCCUGCAUGAAGUCGGAAUCGCUAGUAAUCGCGGAUCAGCAUGUCGCGGUGAAUACGUUCCCGGGUCUUGUACACACCGCCC